rnacentral:tRNA from 1 species
GACAAGGUGGCCGAGUGGUUAAGGUGCUGGACUGCUAAUCUGUUGUGCUCUGCAUGCAUAGGUUCGAAUCCCAUCCUUGUCA